GAUGAACGCUGGCGGCGUGCUUAACACAUGCAAGUCGAACGAUGAAGCUGGAGCUUGCUCCGGUGGAUUAGUGGCGAACGGGUGAGUAACACGUGAGUAAUCUGCCCUUGACUCUGGGAUAACUGCGGGAAACUGUAGCUAAUACCGGAUACGACCCCUUCGGGCAUCCGAUGGGUGUGGAAAGAAUUUCGGUCAAGGAUGAGCUCGCGGCCUAUCAGCUUGUUGGUGAGGUAAUGGCUCACCAAGGCGACGACGGGUAGCCGGCCUGAGAGGGUGACCGGCCACACUGGGACUGAGACACGGCCCAGACUCCUACGGGAGGCAGCAGUGGGGAAUAUUGCACAAUGGGCGAAAGCCUGAUGCAGCAACGCCGCGUGAGGGAUGAAGGCCUUCGGGUUGUAAACCUCUUUUAGCAGGGAAGAAGCGAAAGUGACGGUACCUGCAGAAAAAGCACCGGCUAACUACGUGCCAGCCGCCGCAGUAA
rnacentral:rRNA from 1 species